rnacentral:rRNA from 1 species
UCAACUUCAAAGUCCACGAGGCGUAGCCGAGUCUCUGCACUGAACAUUGUCAGAUCUCAAAGAGGUCCGACGCGUAUGUGCCGCAAUAUAUAUGACCCACUUUUAUGCUUCAAACUAUUUUUUACUGAUGAGAUAAUUUCGGAAAUUGUAAAAUGGACAAAUGCUGAGAUAUCAUUGAAACGUCGGGAAUCUAUGACAGGUGCUACAUUUCGUGACACGAAUGAAGAUGAAAUCUAUGCUUUCUUUGGUAUUCUGGUAAUGACAGCAGUGAGAAAAGAUAACCACAUGUCCACAGAUGACCUCUUUGAUCGAUCUUUGUCAAUGGUGUACGUCUCUGUAAUGAGUCGUGAUCGUUUUGAUUUUUUGAUACGAUGUCUUAGAAUGGAUGACAAAAGUAUACGGCCCACACUUCGAGAAAACGAUGUAUUUACUCCUGUUAGAAAAAUAUGGGAUCUCUUUAUCCAUCAGUGCAUACAAAAUUACACUCCAGGGGCUCAUUUGACCAUAGAUGAACAGUUACUUGGUUUUAGAGGACGGUGUCCGUUUAGGAUGUAUAUCCCAAACAAGCCAAGUAAGUAUGGAAUAAAAAUCCUCAUGAUGUGUGACAGUGGUACAAAGUAUAUGAUAAAUGGAAUGCCUUAUUUGGGAAGAGGAACACAGACCAACGGAGUACCAUAUCGUCGGAGAGCAUAUCGUCGGUGAGCCGGCGGUAAUACGCCGGUUCAAUAUCAAAAUCCUAUCGCGGUGCUCUUCGGUGAGUGUCGAGGUGGGCCGACAAUUUUACUUUGAACAAAUUAGAGUGCUCAAAGCGGGCUCAAAAUGCUGCUUGAAUAUUUCGUGCAUGGAAUAAUAGAAUAUGAUCUCGGUUCUAUUUUGUUGGUUUUCAGAACUCCGAGGUAAUGAUUAAUAGGGAUAACUGGGGGCAUUCGUAUUGCGACGUUAGAGGUGAAAUUCUUGGAUCGUCGCAAGACGAACAUCAGCGAAAGCAUUUGCCAAAGGUGUUUUCAUCAAUCAAGAACGAAAGUUAGAGGUUCGAAGGCGAUUAGAUACCGCCCUAGUUCUAACCGUAAAUAUGUCAUCUAGCGAUCCGCCGACGUUACUACAAUGGCUCGGCGGGCAGCUUCCGGGAAACCAAAGAUUUUGGACUCCGGGGGGAGUAUGGUUGCAAAGCUGAAACUUAAAGGAAUUGACGGAAGGGCACCACCAGGAGUGGAGCCUGCGGCUUAAUUUGACUCAACACGGGAAAUCUCACCAGGCCCGGACACCGGAAGGAUUGACAGAUUAACAGCUCUUUCUUGAUUCGGUGGGUGGUGGUGCAUGGCCGUUCUUAGUUGGUGGAGCGAUUUGUCUGGUUAAUUCCGGUAACGAACGAGACUCUAGCCUGCUAAAUAGGCGUCGUCAUUUAGGUGUGCGUGGCUACGCGUCACGCAACUCACUGGCGACGUAUUAAAAUUCUUCUUAGAGGGACCGGCGGCUUCGAGCCGCACGAGAUUGAGCAAUAACAGGUCUGUGAUGCCCUUAGAUGUCCUGGGCCGCACGCGCGCUACACUGAAGGAAUCAGCAUGUUCUCCCUGGCCUAGAGGCCCGGGCAACCCGCUGAAACUCCUUCGUGCUGGGGAUUGGGGUUUGCAAUUAUCCCCCAUAAACGAGGAAUUCCUAGUAAGCGCGAGUCAUAAGCUCGCGUUGAUUACGUCCCUGCCCUUUGUACACACCGCCCGUCGCUACUACCGAUUGAAUGAUUUAGUGAGGUCUUCGGACCGACACGCGGUGGCUUCACGGCCGUCGGCGUUGCUGGGAAGUUGACCAAACUUGAUCAUUUAGAGGAAGUAAAAGUCGUAACAAGGUUUCCGUAGGGGAACCUGCGGAAG